UUUAUUUUUUUACUUUAUUAUUUACUUUAUUAUUUACUUUAUUAUUUUAUUAUUUAUUAUUUUAUUUUAUUUUUUAUUAUUUUAUUUUAUUAUUUAUUUUAUUAUUUUAUUUUUUAUUAUUUUAUUUUUUAUUUUAUUUUAUUAUUUUAUUUUAUUAUUUUAUUUUAUUAUUUGUAAAAGUUGUAUGAUUACGUUGUGGUAUUUCAUGUGUACACAUCUGGUAAUCCUGUUUGUACACCAUCUAAAGUCAUUUGGUCACAGUGGCUUAGAAAUCUAAUAACUAAAUAAACACCUUUGAUAUUUACCUAAGUAAACACUCAUCUUGCAAUCUGUUUAAAGAAACUCUUUAGAUAGGUUUUUUUAAAAAAACUAGCCAGGAAUUCUCUGCCUAGUUUUUUUAUUGUUGCGUGUGGGACAGUUAGACCCAGUCAGAGUGAUGUGGGGUGAAGAUACUGAACUAAUUGUGGAGGGAUUCAGAUUUUAGCCUCCCCACCCACCCCCCAAACGCCUCAGCCAGGGAAGCGAAGUAGAGCCCAGUUCCUGGUGCCUUCAUCGACACACUAAUGUAUCUUGCAAUAAUCCCUUUAACCAGUGGUGGGAUUCAAAUAAUUUAACAACCGGUUCUCUGCCCUAAUUAUUUCUUUCAACAACCAGUUUACCAAACUGCUCAGAAAGAUAACAACCGGUUCUCCCGAAGUGGUGCGAACUGGCUGAAUCUCAUCACUGCCUUUAACCCCGUCAAAACUUCAGAAAUUGUGGGCGCUUCAUCACUGGAGGUUUUUAAGAAGAGACUGGAUAGCCAUUUAUCGGAAAUAGUAUAGAUUCUCCUGCUUGAGCAGGGGGCUGGACUAGAAGACCUCCAAGGUGCCUUCCAGCUCCUAUUCUAUUCUAUUCUAUUCUAUUCUCUUGUUUUAAGUUUUAAGUUUCUUUUAAUACAAGCAAUCCAUCUUCCAUUAAACAGUGUGUCGUCUGGGUACAAAUGUCUUGCGCAAUAACAAUUCAAAUUUACAGCCAUGUUCAUUAUUUGUCUACUCUUAACUUAAUACUGAUAUGCAUAACCUAUCUAAUACUGUAACAAUCCUCAUCUUAAUUUAUUUAAUUCUAUUGAUAUAUUUUCUACACUUCACUAAUCUACUUUUAUUUCUAACGUUCAUACUUAUUCUCUAGCCAUCGGUAGAAUAGUUCCCAUAUAAUAUCUUUUUUUUAAAAAUUUGAAUUUAUAUCCCGCUCUUCUCCGAAGACUCAGGGCGGCUUACAAUGUGUUAAGCAAUAGUCUUCAUCCAUUUGUAUAUUAUAUACAAAGUCAACUUUUAUUGCCCCCAACAAUCUGGGUCCUCAUUUUACCUACUUUAUAAAGGAUGGAAGGCUGAGUCAACCUUGGGCCUGGUGGGACUUGAACUUGCAGUAAUUGCAAGCAGCUGUGUUAAUAACAGACAGACUUAGUCUGCUGAGCCACCAGAGGCCCCAAACAAAAUAUUCAGUUUGUUCCUUCUCUUUAAUUGCAAGUGUUAACCUAUUCAUUUCUGCACAUUCUAUUCUAUUCUAUUCUAUUCGUCCCACUCUAUGGUUCCAGGUCCAUGCAGCUGCCCCAGCUCCUGGAAGACUCGGCCCGACCGGCUGGUCCGACCGACCUCUUCUCCGCUUCUAGCAGCUUCCAGCCAAGAUUUGAAAGCCGCAGAGGAACCUAUCCUCAGUGCUGGUAUGGCAGCAGCACAGACUCCUCAAGGACCUGAUGCUCACCAGCUUCGCCCACAUCAUGAUCCUGGGAUACCGCUCGGUCAGUGAGUGGCGAUCUGCCUGGCCAGGGUGUGUAUGUGUGUCCACUGAGUGGGUACCAAGUGGCAAGAGGUGCAAGUGGGGCAGGAGUUUUCAGACGAGGGGGAUGGAUGGAUGGAUGGAUGGAUGGGAGGUGGGCGAGCGCCAAGAACACUGAGGCAGCUCCCAAUCAGCUCAGAUGAUCCGCAGGUUGCCAUUAAUUUAUUUUAUUUAUUUAUUUAUUUAAUCAUAUUUAUAUACCGCCCUAUCUCCCGAAGGACUCAGGGCGGUUCACAGGCACUUAAAAACACAUAAAUACAAUAUAAAAGCAAUUAAAAAACUUAUUCUAAAAGCCCGUUAAUUAAAAUAUCAAAAUAAAACCCAAUUAAAACCCAUAAGUUUAAAAUCUAGCUCAGUCCUGCACAAUUAAAUAAGUAUGUUUUAAGCCCGCGGCGGAAGGUCCGAAGGUCCGGAAGCUGACGAAGUCCGGGGGGGUAGUUAAGGAGCCCAGCUGCCAUUAGCUGACCGGGGGAGGGAAGGGCUGCCUUCUCGGUUGCCCACGCCCAACCCUUCACUAUUUUCGGGGGAGGGUGUAUAUUUACGCCCACCCCCCAAAAAUCAGGCUUGGCCUUAUUUUCAGGACAUGUCGUAUUUUCGGGGAAACAUGGUAUUAUCACUUGAGGGGCUGCCCCAAAGAAGAGGGGCUCGACCUAUUCCCCAAAGCCCCUGAAGGCAGGACAAGAAGCAACGGAUGGAAACUCAUCAAGGAGAGAAGCAAGCUGGAAUUAAGGAGAAACUUCCCGACAGCGAGGCCAAUUAAACCGGUGGAACCACUUGCCACCAGAAGUUGGAGGUUUUUAAAUAGGGACCGGACAACCAUUUGUCUGAAAUGGCAUAGGGUCUCCUGCUUGAGCAAGGGGCUGGACUAGAAGACCUCCGAGGUCCCUACCAAUUCUAUUAUCGUGCCCUCUGAUUCAUCCCAAAACCUUGGCUGAGUGUUGCACGUUUACUAAAGAAACGGAUGACUCCGAAGAUGGGCCAAUGCCGGUCAAACGGUCAUCUCUUUUGAUCUUUCUUUUAGGACGGUUCUGGAAGAUUCUGGAACGGUGCCCACCCUGCGUCAUCCUUCCAGAGAAAAGGCCCUCCCAGCCCUUGUGGGAAUGACAACCCUUCCAGGAAUAGACGGAGCAGCAACUACUACAGCUCUCAACUGAGGACUGAGUAAAGGGGGUGUGAUUCAGCCUUCUCUCUCUCUCUCUCUCUCUCUCCAAAGGGCAAAGUUACACCUCCGUGUCUAAUAGUAGUAGGACACCGCAAGCAGCAACGAUCCGCUGAACAGAACAGAACAACAGAGCUGGAAGGGACCUUGGAGGUCUUCUAGUCCAACCCCUUGCUCAGCUGGCUUUUAUGCCUGAGGUGGGACUAGAACUCACCGUCUCCUGUUGAUUGGCUCAAAGUCACCCAAAUGGCUCUCAUGACUAAGGUGGGACUAGAACUCACCCUGUUGAUCAGCUCAAAGUCACCCAAAUGGCUUUCAUGACUAAGGUGGGACUAGAACUCACCCUGUUGAUCGGCUCAAAGUCACCCAAAUGGCUCUCAUGACUAAGGUGGGACUAGAACUCACUAUCUCCUGGUGAUUGGCCCACUGGCUUUCAUGCCAAAGACGGGACCUAGAACUCACCGUCUCCUGCUUUCUAGCCUAGUGCUUUAACCACUGGACCAAGAUGGCCUAGGGCUUUCCUGCAGGUGGAAGUUUCUGCAGCCUUCCCAAAGAGCAGCCAGUGUGUGUGUGUGUUUGUGUUUGUGUGUGUGUGUGUGUGUGUGUGCGCACACAUGUGGGUACAUCCCUGUGCGCGCAUGCAGGGAACGUGUCGGUCACUCUCCACCGCCUCUCUCGCUGGCAGGAGAGAGCCGGGCAGCUUCGGACAUUCAGCAAGCGUUGCCCUCGAUAGAAAUAACCCGCUUGUCAGAUGCCCAGGCUGGAGCAUGGCCAGGUGGAGUAACGGGUGCUUUCCUGCAAAAGGGCAAAGAACACCAAAACCCUCCCUGCAUUUCCCACCUCGUUCCCCUCACCCGAUCACACCCCACGGUCAAUCAACCAAUCAGAGUAGAGCAGGAAGGGACCUCGGAGGUCUUCUAGUCAAUCCUAGGCCACUUCAGAGAGUCAAGAGGGUCCAAUGGGGAAAACAUAGGAGCACAUUCCGUUCCUAGUUUCUACUACUCUUACCUCGCCCUCUGCCUUGGCACAGGUAGUUCUCGACUUACGACCACAACGGAUGGCUCAGAAUUACAGCCGCUACUGAAAAAAAAGUCACUUACAACCAGUCCUUGCAAUUAUGACCGUCGCGGCAUUAUGACCUCAGUCCGCAUGAUCAAAAUUUGGGCACUUGGAAACCGGCCUGGAUUUAUGACCCUUGCAGCAUCCUCUGUGUGUGUGUGUGUGAAUUGUGGCCGUAAGAUGAGGACUAACCAUACAGAAAGCCCUUCCCACCUGCACCAUCGUGCCCGGGGUACCCUCUUUGGAAGCAAAGCUGGGCAUCUCAACACGAAGCUGCCGGGCCCUUUCCUAUACCAGCCACGGAGCUGGAUUCAGGAGGCGCAGGGCUCGGCUGCGCAGGGCUCGGUGCAGAUCUGCCCAGGGUCCUGGCUGGCUCGGAGGCCUGGAUGGUUGGAGAGCAACAGGGACGGCGUCUCUAUUAAUAACCUGCCAAGUCAGAGGAGGCCGGGAGGGCAGCCCCUUAGGAAGAGCCACCAGCUUGGCAGUCGCCCUCUGCUCAAAUUCCAGCUGCGGCUGCCCGUCUCUCAACUGGGACUCCAGCGAUGGAAGAGUGUCUGAAGAGCCAAAGUCCUUCGUGGAGGGGAAAACCUCGCCUUCCAGAGCCUUUUCCAGCCACGCGCCCACUGGAGACCCUCGCUUGCAGCCUCUGCUCUGCUGCCCUUCGCCCUAGGCUGGGACAGCCGCAGGAGCAAUCUGCCAAGAGGUUUAUAACAGAAUGACAAAGUUGGGUGGGACCUUGGAGGUCUUCUAAUCCACCCCCCCUGCUCAAGCAGGAGGCUCUAUACCAUUCCAGAUAGGUGGCUGUCCAGUGUCUUCUUAAAAACCUCCAGUGUCGGAACAUUCACAACUUCUGGUGGGAAGCAGUUCCACCGGUUAAUUGUCCUCACCGUUAGGAAAUUUCUCCUUAAUUCCAGCCUGCUUCUCUCCUUGAUUCAUUUCCACCUGUUGUUGUUUCUUCUUCUGCUUUCUGGUACUUUGGAAAAUAAGUUAAGGGGCGUGCAUAAGUGCACAAAAGUGCCUACCGUUCCUGUCCUAUUGUUUCCUUUCAAUAUAUGUUCCUGUAUAUAAUGUUGUGACAAAAUAAAAAAAAAAAUAA